GGCGGACGGGUGAGUAACGCGUAGGGAUCUGCCCCGCAGUGGGGGACAACCUGGGGAAACUCAGGCUAAUACCGCAUACGCUCCAUGGAGGGAAAGCGGGGGACCUUCGGGCCUCGCGCUGCGGGAUGAACCUACGUCCGAUUAGCUAGUUGGUGGGGUAAGGGCCCACCAAGGCGACGAUCGGUAGCUGGUCUGAGAGGACGGCCAGCCACACUGGGACUGAGACACGGCCCAGACUCCUACGGGAGGCAGCAGUGGGGAAUAUUGGACAAUGGGCGCAAGCCUGAUCCAGCAAUGCCGCGUGGGUGAAGACGGCCUGCGGUUGU
rnacentral:rRNA from 1 species